rnacentral:lncRNA from 1 species
CUGAAACAGUCGCGAAUGGGACUAGCCAGUCAGGGAAAACCAGUGAAGAUGUGACUGAUAAAAAAGGGAAGGAAAAUGUCGGGGUAAAGGAAAUGGAUGUAGAUAAGAAAGGUGACAAGAAAGCUGAAGUGGAGAAAAUGGAUGAAGACCUAGAGGCCAAUGGAUGCAAAGGAUGAAAAAUUGAAGAAGAACAAGGGAUCCAAAGUUGAGGAAAAGAAAGAAGAAAUGGUCCAAUGAAGUUAAGAUAGGUGAUGAGAAUGCUGAAGUUGAAAAAAUGGAUGAAGACCUAGAGGCUGAUGGAAGCAGAGAUGAAAAAUUAAAAGAAGAAAAAGAGGAACUUAAAGUUGAGGAAAUGGAAGAAGAAACUGGUCCGAAUGAAAAAAAGGAGACCGAAGAAAAGACUGAAGAAAAGAGGGAAUUUGAAGUGGAGGAGGACAAGGUAAAGAAGGCAGAAGAGAAGGCAGAAGAGUUGGAAGAAGAAAAAGAAGAAGAGAAAGAAGAAGAAAAGGAAGAAGAGAAGGAAG